rnacentral:lncRNA from 1 species
UAAAUGAACAAUUGACUUUAGACAAAAAGAGAAAUAAUUUAAAAGUUACUAUUGCUGAUCAUUGCUGGUCCAGCUGGAGUUUAGAGUAGUCUCUGAAAAAAAGAGAAGUGGGGAAUCUUGAUAACUUUAUAGAAUUUGCCAGAAGAAAUUAUUUAUAGUCAGUAAGUAGUAAAUUCUUGCUGAUUUAAUUUUUUUUAUUCAAUUUUCAGUGAUUUUAUAUAUUGGGCUUACUUUAAAAGAGAGAGCACAGGGAAUCAGACCUUUUCUGUUGCUCAGAGUCCCAAGGGUUGCCUACUCUGGUGCAUUACUUUCUACUACUUGUCCAGCAGUGGUAAGGGCAAGCAGCAGUGUCUGUCUUGAGUGACCUUGAGAGAUCCUUGUGGGUUUGGGGGUUUUUGCCCUUGCUAGUCUGUAAGCAUAAGAGUGUAUGUCUUCUUCUUGUAGAAAAGGAAAAAGGAGAACAAGAUGAAGAAAAAGAAAGAGAAGAAGAAAAGGAAAGAGAAAACAGGACCUGUCCAGCUUUCCAAGUUCUUCAAAAACAAAAAGAAGAAUGAGAACUACAGCAUGAUAACUGGAAAGAAAAUUAAGAUGAAAAUAAAGAAGACUAAGGAAGAUAUAGAGAGAGACCGGAACCGUGCCCAGCUCCUGGAAUUUCUGAACUCUGCCUUGUAACGGGAAGAGUCCUCACCAAGGACUAGCAGAUGUACCAAGCCAACCAUCAUCCUAGCAGAACACUAAAGAGAAACUCAGGGAAAAGGACACCAAGUUGGACAAGACCAGACCCUCCUACUGAGAAGAAAAUUGGAAUGUCCUUUCUUAAUGGCAAAACACAGAGUAGCUGAUAACUUGUUAAGGGAGAUCCAUGUCCUCCUUUUGAGAUCCUAAGGUAAUAGCCAGGCUGUGGUGUUUCAGAAAAGCCCAAGUGUGUGUGUUGUUCACAAUGAUAGGAAAUGACACACUGAAGUCCAGCAAUGUAAUUUCUAUCUUAACUGCAUGCAGAAUGCACUCUUAAUUUCAAAUGUCUUAAUUUUUCUAGUAGUUUAAGCAGAGUAUUUGUAAAUGUGUAUUUGAAAGAUGAAGUGUUUCUUUCAUGUAUAUUUUUUUUCUGGUAGUGGUUAUGCGUAUCAUAAAGAGCAAACUGACCUUUGUAAAUAGAACAUCCUUUUACAUAAAUGAUUUUUUUUGAAAGUUCAUUCAGUGAUAUGUUAUUUUCUUUUAGAAUUUGAGAUGUGGUGUUUCUCUGGGCAGCUUAUUGCUCUCUCUCAUUAGAAAGUGUAACAGCAAAAUACUCUAGAGCAAUAAUGGUAGCAAAUUAUUUUUAUCCUAAAAUAGAAGCAGGAAAGGUCUCUGGUUUUGUUUGCUUAUCUGAAUCAGUUGUUCAGUUCGUAAUAGAUAGUUUACACCCCCCAUCUGGAGUUGCAGUUCCUAGACUGAAAGUCUGGAGUUGUGGCCUGCUUUUCUGAUCCUGUGAGCCUAUAUCAAAUCUUUCUCUCUUUGAAGUGCAGCAAGGCACAUAC